rnacentral:rRNA from 1 species
GACGGAGCAAUACCGCGUGAGGGAGGGAGGCUCUUGGGUUGUAAACCUCUUUUCUCAGGGAAGAAGAUCUGACGGUACCUGAGGAAUCAGCAUCGGCUAACUCCGUGCCAGCAGCCGCGGUAAUACGGAGGAUGCAAGCGUUAUCCGGAAUGAUUGGGCGUAAAGGGUUCGCAGGUGGUAGUGAAAGUUUGCUGUUAAAAGUCGGGGCUCAACCCCGAACCGGCGGUGAAAACUACAUAACUAGAGUGCGGUAGGGGCAGAGGGAAUUCCUGGUGUAGCGGUGAAAUGCGUAGAGAUCAGGAAGAACAUCGGUGGCGAAGGCGCUCUGCUAGACCGAAACUGACACUGAGGGACGAAAGCUAGGGGAGCG